AUCGAUGAAGAACGCAGCGAAAUGCGAUAAGUAAUGUGAAUUGCAGAAUUUAGUGAAUCAUCGAAUCUUUGAACGCACAUUGCGCCCUCUGGUAUUCCGGAGGGCAUGCCUGUUCGAGCGUCAUUACAACCCUCAAGCUCUGCUUGGUAUUGGGCCGCGCCACCUGGCCGGCCCCAAAGACAGUGGUGGCGCCCCCCGGCCCUCAGCGUAGUACAUUUCUCGCUGUAGGACCCGUGGCGGUGUCGACACCCUAAACGCACAAGGUUGACCUCGGAUCAGGUAGGGAUACCCGCUGAACUUAAGCAUAUCAAUAAGCGGAGGAAAAGAAACCAACAGGGAUUGCCUCAGUAACGGCGAGUGAAGCGGCAACAGCUCAAAUUUGAAAUCUGGCUCCUUCGGGGCCCGAGUUGUAAUUUGUAGAAGAUGCUUCGGGUGUGGCUCCGGCCUAAGUUCCUUGGAACAGGACGUCAUAGAGGGUGAGAAUCCCGUAUGUGGCCGGUAGCCUACGCCCAUGUGAAGCUCUUUCGACGAGUCGAGUUGUUUGGGAAUGCAGCUCUAAAUGGGUGGUAAAUUUCAUCUAAAGCUAAAUAUUGGCCAGAGACCGAUAGCGCACAAGUAGAGUGAUCGAAAGAUGAAAAGCACUUUGGAAAGAGAGUCAAACAGUACGUGAAAUUGUUGAAAGGGAAGCGCUUGCAACCAGACUUGGGCGCUGUCGAUCACCCGGUGUUCUCACCGGUGCACUCGGCAGUGUACAGGCCAGCAUCGGUUUGGGUGGCCAGAUAAAGGUCGCGGGAAUGUGGCUCCCCCCGGGGAGUGUUAUAGCCCGUGGCGCCAUGUGGCCCACCCGGACCGAGGACCGCGCUUCGGCUAGGAUGCUGGCGUAAUGGUUGUAAGCGACCCGUCUUGAAACACGG
rnacentral:rRNA from 1 species